rnacentral:rRNA from 1 species
CGAAAGUCUGAUCCAGCCCGCCGCGUGAGUGAUGAAGGCUUUCGGCUCGUAAAACUCUGUUGUUGGAGAAGAACAGGUGUCAGAGUAACUGUUGACAUCUUGACGGUAUCCAACCAGAAAGCCACGGCUAACUACGUGCCAGCAGCCGCGGUAAU